rnacentral:rRNA from 1 species
AUUGAACGCUGGCGGCAGGCCUAACACAUGCAAGUCGAGCGAGCGGCGGACGGGGGAGAAAUGUCUGGGAGACUGCCUGAUGGAGGGGGAUAACUACUGUAAACGGUAGCUAAUACCGCAUACCAUCAGAGGUGCGCAGAUGGGGUGAGCGCGUAGGUGGGGUAACGGCUCACCUAGGCGCCGAUCCCCAGCUGGUCUGCGAGGAUGACCAGCCACACUGGAACGGAGACACGGUCCAGACUCCUACGGGAGGCAGCAGUGGGGAAUAUUGCACAAUGGGCGAAAGCCUGAUGCAGCCAUGCCGCGUGUGUGAAGAAGGCCUUCGGGUUGUAAAGCACUUUUAGCGGGGAGGCGUUACCCGCAGAAGAAGCACCGGCUAACGCCGUGCCAGCAGCCGCGGUAAUAC